rnacentral:rRNA from 1 species
GAUGAACGCUGGCGGCGUGCCUAAUACAUGCAAGUCGAGCGAAUGGAUUAAGAGCUUGCUCUUAUGAAGUUAGCGGCGGACGGGUGAGUAACACGUGGGUAACCUGCCCAUAAGACUGGGAUAACUCCGGGAAACCGGGGCUAAUACCGGAUAACAUUUUGAACCGCAUGGUUCGAAAUUGAAAGGCGGCUUCGGCUGUCACUUAUGGAUGGACCCGCGUCGCAUUAGCUAGUUGGUGAGGUAACGGCUCACCAAGGCAACGAUGCGUAGCCGGCCUGAGAGGGGGAUCGGCCACACUGGGACUGAGACACGGCCCAGACUCCUACGGGAGGCAGCAGUAGGGAAUCUUCCGCAAUGGACGAAAGUCUGACGGAGCAACGCCGCGUGAGUGAUGAAGUCUUUCGGGUCGUAAAACUCUGUUGUUAGGGAAGAACAAGUGCUAGUUGAAUAAGCUGGCACCUUGACGGUACCUAACCAGAAAGCCACGGCUAACUACGUGCCAGCCGCCGCUGUAA